rnacentral:misc_RNA from 1 species
AUGAUUUGGCCUCUGGCCUUAUUUGAUAUAAAUCUUCUACCUCUGUGAACCGUCGGUCUCCGGACCGGAUAUUUAAACAUCUGUGUAAUGAAUGUAAAAACGUUAAACAAACA